CGUAUAUUAAAGUUGUUGCAGUUAAAAAGCUCGUAGUUGGAUUUGUGGUUGUGUUCAGGAGCCAUUUUUGGAUUCCUUGAACACGAUCAUUUUUGGGAGGAAUUUGUGUGGCAUUAGCUUGUUGCACGGGGGAUACUCAACGUUUACUGUGAAAAAAUCAGCGCGUUCAAAGCAAGCUUAUGCUGUGAAUGUAUUAGCAUGGAAUAAUAAGAUAGGACCUUGGUACUAUUUUGUUGGUUUGUGCACCGAGGUAAUGAUUAAUAGGGACAGUUGGGGG
rnacentral:rRNA from 1 species